rnacentral:rRNA from 1 species
CAAUAGCGUAUAUUAAAGUUGUUGCAGUUAAAAAGCUCGUAGUUGGAUUUCUGGUCGGAAGCUCCUGUCCUCUGAUGAGCGUACAAGUGCGUCCUACCAUCCUUCUGUUAACCUUUAAGGCUUUCGCGGCUUUCUAGGGGCUCAGAUAUUUUACCUUUAGAAAAUUAGAGUGUUUCAGGCAGGCUAGCGCCGGAAUACAUUAGCAUGGAAUAAUGGAAUAGGACUUUUGCCUCUUCUGUUGGUCAUGAGGCUCGAGUAAUGAUUAAUAGGGAUAGUUGGGGGCAUUAGUACUUAACUGUCAGAGGUGAAAUUCUCGGAUUUGUUAAAGACUAACUUAUGCGAAAGCAUUUGCCAAGGAUGUUUUCAUUAA